GACGAACGCUGGCGGCGUGCUUAACACAUGCAAGUCGAACGGAAAGGCCUGCUUUCCCUUGUGGAUUGCGGGUACUCGAGUGGCGAACGGGUGAGUAACACGUGAGUGAUCUGCCCCCAACUUGGGUAUAAGCCUGGGAAACUGGGUCUAAUUCCCGAUAGGACUGCAGGGUGGUGCCUGUGGUGGAAAACGAUUUUCUAGUGGUUGGGGAUGAGCUCGCGGCCUAUCAGCUUGUUGGUGGGGUAAUGGCCUACCAAGGCGGCGACGGGUAGCCGGCCUGAGAGGGUGGACGGCCACAUUGGGACUGAGAUACGGCCCAGACUCCUACGGGAGGCAGCAGUGGGGAAUAUUGCACCAUGGGCGGAAGCCUGAUGCAGCGACGCCGCGUGGGGGAUGACGGCCUUCGGGUUGUAAACUCCUUUCGACCGCGAGGAAGCCACCUGGUUGGAAGGGUGGUGACGGUAGUGGUAGAAGAAGCACCGGCUAACUACGUG
rnacentral:rRNA from 1 species